GACGAACGCUGGUGGCGUGCUUAACACAUGCAAGUCGAACGGAAAGGCCCUGCUUUUGUGGGGUGCUCGAGUGGCGAACGGGUGAGUAACACGUGAGUAACCUGCCCUUGACUUUGGGAUAACUUCAGGAAACUGGGGCUAAUACCGGAUAGGAGCUCCUGCUGCAUGGUGGGGGUUGGAAAAUUUCGGCGGUUGGGGAUGGACUCGCGGCUUAUCAGCUUGUUGGUGGGGUAGUGGCUUACCAAGGCUUUGACGGGUAGCCGGCCUGAGAGGGUGACCGGCCACAUUGGGACUGAGAUACGGCCCAGACUCCUACGGGAGGCAGCAGUGGGGAAUAUUGCACAAUGGGCGGAAGCCUGAUGCAGCAACGCCGCGUGCGGGAUGACGGCCUUCGGGUUGUAAACCGCUUUCGCCUGUGACGAAGCGUGAGUGACGGUAAUGGGUAAAGAAGCACCGGCUAACUACGUG
rnacentral:rRNA from 1 species